GAUGAACGCUGGCGGCGUGCCUAAUACAUGCAAGUCGAGCGAAUGGAUUGAGAGCUUGCUCUCAAGAAGUUAGCGGCGGACGGGUGAGUAACACGUGGGUAACCUGCCCAUAAGACUGGGAUAACUCCGGGAAACCGGGGCUAAUACCGGAUAACAUUUUGAACUGCAUGGUUCGAAAUUGAAAGGCGGCUUCGGCUGUCACUUAUGGAUGGACCCGCGUCGCAUUAGCUAGUUGGUGAGGUAACGGCUCACCAAGGCAACGAUGCGUAGCCGACCUGAGAGGGUGAUCGGCCACACUGGGACUGAGACACGGCCCAGACUCCUACGGGAGGCAGCAGUAGGGAAUCUUCCGCAAUGGACGAAAGUCUGACGGAGCAACGCCGCGUGAGUGAUGAAGGCUUUCGGGUCGUAAAACUCUGUUGUUAGGGAAGAACAAGUGCUAGUUGAAUAAGCUGGCACCUUGACGGUACCUAACCAGAAAGCCACGGCUAACUACGUGCCAGCAGCCGCCGUAAUAC
rnacentral:rRNA from 1 species